AUCCUAUGGUAAUCCUGUUCAGUCCGGGAGGAACUGCAGGUUCACACAUUUGGUACAUGUGCCUGGUCGACCGGCCAAUGAUGCGAGGCUACCAUCUGGGGGAUAAGGACUGAACUCCUCUAAAUCGGAAUCCCAUCCAAAGGUGCAACGAUACACUG
rfam:Echinococcus multilocularis genomic scaffold, pathogen_EMT_contig_0245